CGUAUUCCUCCGAUUUGGUCUCCCGCAACCUCUCAUCCUUUGUCCCAUCUGAUUUUUCUGGGAUCUUUAGGGUCUUCAUUUGAAGUCAUUCGAAAUGUCUUCCGGCACCUCCGCCUCUAGCGGUUCAGGGAGUUCUUCCGUCUCAGCCCCCCAGGACCCAUAUUCUGUAGACGAACCCACAUUUGGGACUGGGCUUCGCCCGGUUUUUGCGCCGAGCGCCAUUCCCUGC
rnacentral:lncRNA from 1 species